UUCAGAUUUAUGGAGUCAUUUUAAAAUAAUACAUUUGAUUUUAUAAUUUCAAUUUACACGUUUUAUUUCAGGUUAUUUACGGCAAACUACGUGCAAGGAAAUUACAACAUCAUCUUCAAAAACGAAACCACAUUGAGCAAAGAAAGGUAAACUUCUUCACUAUCGCUAAACCAUCUUCCUCACCAACAACAGUUAUUUACGGCAAACUACGAGCAAGGAAAUUACAACAUCAUCUUCAAAAACGAAACCACAUUGAGCAAAGAAAAGAGAACUUCUUCACCAUCGCUAAACCAUCUUCCUCACCAACAACAGAUAUUUACGGCAAACUACGAGCCAUGGCAAAACAUUAACAAAUAAAAGUCAAAAUACGGUGAUAUACCCGACUAAUGCUUAAAAUUCUUACAUCCCUCUCAAUAUUGAAAAUAUUUUAAAUCUCC